GGUCUAAUCCUCACUUGACCAGCCCUCUCAUUGUUUUUCUAUCCUCUCUUUUCUUUUUCAUACCAACAGGAGGUAACCCGGUGGUCUCCAUCCAAUCUAGAUCAUCAAGCGCUCACAACAGGAGGCCACCCUGCGGGCUGCGAUCAAAUCUAGACUGUCCGGUGCGCAACGACGAGAAGCCAACCCGUGGUUAACGGUAACGGUAACGGUAGGUGCACAUGGGAGCGCCGAUCUCUCAUUUACCCGGCUAACGGUAAUCAUAUUGGAUCCAUAUAACGGUACGGUCUCACAGUCCCAUGGUGACCCACUUCAUCCCAAUUCCACACAAACAAAUCACAAUAUAUGCACAACACAAUUAUUCAAACAAUUCUUUCAACGUACUACACCAAAUACAUCCAAAUAUACAAUUAUGCAACAUAAAGUAAAUAUGAGCUUUAAUAUAAAAUAUAUAUAUAUAUAAGGUUUGUAAAAAAAAUGCUAUGCAAAUGCAUGUUGAUAUGCAUUAUUUAUUAUUACUCACUGCGAUGGAGAGCGAAGUUCUAGCUUUGAUUCUGUCCUGGAGGAGCACUAGAUGGACCCG
rnacentral:lncRNA from 1 species